rnacentral:rRNA from 1 species
UAAGCAUAUCAAUAAGCGGAGGAAAAGAAACCAACAGGGAUUGCCCUAGUAACGGCGAGUGAAGCGGCAACAGCUCAAAUUUGAAAUCUGGCUCCUUUGGGGCCCGAGUUGUAAUUUGUAGAGGGUGCUUUGGCGUUGGCUCCGGCCUAAGUUCCUUGGAACAGGACGUCACAGAGGGUGAGAAUCCCGUACGUGGCCGGCUGCCUUCGCCGUGUAAAGCCCCUUCGACGAGUCGAGUUGUUUGGGAAUGCAGCUCUAAAUGGGAGGUAAAUUUCUUCUAAAGCUAAAUACUGGCCAGAGACCGAUAGCGCACAAGUAGAGUGAUCGAAAGAUGAAAAGCACUUUGGAAAGAGAGUCAAAAAGCACGUGAAAUUGUUGAAAGGGAAGCGCUUGCAGCCAGACUUGCCUGUAGUUGCUCAUCCGGGCUCCUGCCCGGUGCACUCUUCUAUAGGCAGGCCAGCAUCAGUUUGGGCGGCCGGAUAAAGGCCUCGGGAACGUAGCUCUCUUCGGGGAGUGUUAUAGCCCGGGGCGUCAUGCGGCCAGCCUGGACUGAGGUCCGCGCAUCUGCUAGGAUGCUGGCGUAAUGGCUGUAAGCGGCCCGUCUUGAAACACGGACCAAGGAGUCUAACAUCUAUGCGAGUGUUUGGGUGUCAAGCCCGGGCGCGUAAUGAAAGUGAACGGAGGUGGGAACCCCCCGGGGUGCACCAUCGACCGAUCCUGAUGUCUUCGGAUGGAUUUGAGUAAGAGCAUAGCUGUUGGGACCCGAAAGAUGGUGAACUAUGCCUGAAUAGGGUGAAGCCAGAGGAAACUCUGGUGGAGGCUCGCAGCGGUUCUGACGUGCAAAUCGAUUGUCAAAUUUGGGCAUAGGGGCGAAAGACUAAUCGAACUAUCUAGUAGCUGGUUCCUGCCGA